rnacentral:rRNA from 1 species
GACGAACGCUGGCGGCGUGCUUAACACAUGCAAGUCGAACGGAAAGGCCCUGCUUUUGUGGGGUGCUCGAGUGGCGAACGGGUGAGUAACACGUGAGUGACCUGCCCUUGACUUUGGGAUAACUUCAGGAAACUGGGGCUAAUACCGGAUAGGAGCUCCUGCUGCAUGGUGGGGGUUGGAAAGUUUCGACGGUUGGGGAUGGACUCGCGGCUUAUCAGCUUGUUGGUGGGGUAGUGGCUUACCAAGGCUUUGACGGGUAGCCGGCCUGAGAGGGUGACCGGCCACAUUGGGACUGAGAUACGGCCCAGACUCCUACGGGAGGCAGCAGUGGGGAAUAUUGCACAAUGGGCGGAAGCCUGAUGCAGCAACGCCGCGUGCGGGAUGACGGCCUUCGGGUUGUAAACCGCUUUCGCCUGUGACGAAGCGUGAGUGACGGUAAUGGGUAAAGAAGCACCGGCUAACUACGUG